rnacentral:rRNA from 1 species
CCUACGGGAGGCUGCAGUGGGGAAUAUUGCGCAAUGGUCGAAAGCCUGACGCAGCGACGCCGCGUGAGGGAUGAAGGUCUUCGGAUCGUAAACCUCUGUCAGCAGGGAAGAACGGUCACUGUGCUAAUCAGCAGUGAAUUGACGGUACCUGCAAAGGAAGCACCGGCGAACUCCGUGCCAGCAGCCGCGGUAAUACGGAGGGUGCGAGCGUUAAUCGGAAUUACUGGGCGUAAAGCGCUCGUAGGCGGUAUGUCAAGUCAAGGGUGAAAUCCCCGCGCUCAACGUGGGAACUGCCUUUGAAACUGGCAGACUGGAGUGUGUGAGAGGAAAGUGGAAUUGCAGGUGUAGGAGUGAAAUCCGUAGAUAUCUGGAGGAACAUCAGUGGCGAAGGCGACUAUCUGGCACAUAACUGACGCUGAGGAGCGAAAGCGUGGGUAGCAAACAGGAUUAGAUACCCGGGUAGUC